rnacentral:lncRNA from 1 species
CAUGGGAGUUAGGGCUGUGAUGGAUAAAGGCCUCCUUUGAUUGCUGUGGGCAGAGACAUGGAAAUUCCUCCAUCUUCUCAGAAGUGACGAGAUCAGAAGAGUCACUGAGGGUCCACUGCUGAGCUGCACAGAUGCUGAGCUUUCACCAGAAAGAAAUAAAGGGACCAAGUGUAGCCUGUAUUCAGCCCGAAGAAUCCUUGUGCACUGCUGUUAAGAAAUCUAGACCAUCAGAGGUUUGAGCGGGCGGCGUGGAAGCCUGGGCUUCCGGGCCCUGGGAACAGGCGUUCUUGGGUGAAUUGCAGCCCAGGCUCUGUUCUUGGUUCCAAGCACAGCAUCCCCCAGCUGGUCCCUGAGGUUGGGACGCUCGCUCUUGGGGCAGGACUUUGCCAUCAGAUGUCAAUUAUCUGCCAUCUGUUCUGAGCAGCCCACUGGAGAACUUUUCCACCCGGAACGGCUGUGGCCUUCUCCUGUCAUCGUUCCCCGGAUUUUCCUGGCAACCCUCUCACCCAGCCGCAUUUGUAGCUCCGUGGGGGAAGAACAGGGAAAUUUCGCACACUUUCCUUUGAAUAGAACUGAAACGUGGAAUAAUGCAAGAACCAAGAGGAGCAGAGCCGCGCUGUUCCCUCAGCAACCACUGGCUGUCAUGGCCACAUCCGCCUGAGAACACAGACCACCACAGACUCUCGGGGUCUCAGUAGGUGGUGGAGGCUGGGGUGUGCAUCUUCAUCGCCUGGCCUCUCACCCCAAUGAGCAUCUCUCUCUGACUGAUGGCCCUUUAAGCUAUUAUUAAGUAUCACACCUCGACUCUUAACCGAUGAGAGUUGAAGAGGUGGAUCAAAGCCAGUGGCAGUGUGCUGUAGCCAUAGAAAGAAAAUAAGAAAAGGCCAACUUUAAAGCAUGAAGUUUGACUACGAACCUGACACACGCCCCCACAACUGCCUGCACCGCCCACUCCCUAACAGUCAGACCUGGGGGAAGGUUACCACAACAGCUGCGAAAUGACAGUUCUCCAGCUCCUUUGUGUGUGGGGCCCGGGUGACCCACUAGGGCUUCUGGAAUAAAGAAGUGAUGCUUCCAGGGAGUGCGGGAACGAGAAGAGUGGCCCGCGUGGGCGUGGGAGCCGGGCUUGGGCUCUUGAGUUGAAUUUAUAUCCUCCAUCUGCAAUUAGCCCAUUGCCCCUUCUGAGAACAUGAAUAGUUCCCGCUGCUGUUAAUGGGAAUGCUGUUCUCACCCCAACGGGAGGAAAAACGCCCAGAAACAUGUUUAAUGGAUUUUUUUUUGGAUACUUAAAAACAUUGCAGUGAUUUUCUAGUUCCAAAAAGGACAUGUUGAUAACUUUUCCAUAUGGCAGUUUUCUGUGAUGAUUAUUAGUGGCUUGGCAAUUUUUAAUAUUAAAUUCCUAACCGUAAGCAGAAUUUCGUCCAAUUUUCAAUCCAUAAGACAGUUAAGUUUUCAGGGUUUUCAGGGAGGAAGUCAUCCUUUCUUUUCUAUUGAUUCAUGUCAAAAAGACACCUCUCUGUCCCCAAACCCACGGUCGUCUCAUCUUUUCAUAGGUGGCUUCAGGCUCAUGAAAGACCUGGGGUAUGGACGCAAAGACCCCGAAUGGGCGCCUCGUUCUUAUGGGUCCAGACUCAGGCACUGAGUCUCCCCAGGCUGCCUUUUCCAAUUCCAGUAACAUUCUGUGCGUCAGCGUUGCCAGGGUAGACGCAGCCAGGCCCAGGAUAGAAACCCUUUUUUCCGUGCAGGGAUGACUCUCCUGCAAGCAGGCCCACUUCCCUGCCCAACGACAGGCUGUCUCACACAACUUACAAAUUCAAAACGCCUUCCUAAAAAUAUCAGAGAAGAAUCUUACAAAAUUAUCUAGUGUCACUUGUUUUUACCCCACAUGGGUGGUAUUCACAGCAGAAGAAAUUACAUUUAUGUACUUAGUAGAAGUAAUGAAGAUAAUCAUUAGAAUGGUAUUUGCUCUGGAAAUAACCCAAAUAUGGGUGAUGUCUGACAUGAGAGCCUGAAAUGAUCUGCAGCCCCCUCCCCAUUAGAAUUGUGAAUUUCCACCUGUAAAAGGCAGUGAAGGUGUGCAUGGCAAGCCUGAAUGACUACCUAAUGUAAAAGAUAAAUGAAAACCAGCCUCUUCAGAUGCCACUUUUGUGCCAUCCUUUAUGUUUGUGAUUUUUUUCUUUUCUACUUGCCUCUGUAAAUUAAACUAUUUUCAACUUGUAGGGCUGAGGCAAAA